ACCAAAAUGAGAAUUUAUUUUCAUAUGGCAUGAGAGGCUACAGCUUCAAAUCUGUUAAGAGUCCAUUUUAAAUUUGAAAGUAAAUUAUAAUAUCUAUUUAUUUAUAUCAUAAUCUGCGCGACACCGUCGUUGGCUUUCUUUGAUGACGUUUGUAGUGUGUUCCAAAUGAAUGAUUAUUGUCAGCGAAGUCCACUUCAACGGAUAUACCGUGCUCAGGGAGUAGGGAGCAGUGAACACUGCGUAGGGACCCUGUCGAAUGGAACGCAGUUUAAGUGUCCAUUGAUCCCUAUGGAGGGCUACGGAGCUAUCGGAUUUCAACUAAAAUAUCUUAAUUUUUGUUCUGAAGAUUAACGAAGGCCUUACGGGUGUGGAACGGCAUGAGGGUAAGUAAUAAAUGACAGAAUUUUCAUUUUUGGGUGAACUAACUCUUUAAGGGGAUAUCUAUCUGUCAUCAAUGUAAAGUAGCUAAAACUCCUCAAAAAGCAGACAGGGAACCAGUAAACCAGCUUAUGGAUUUUUUUCCUCCAUAAAAAAUAUUUAUGCAUAAAUAUAACACUUCUUCUUAACAAACAUUAAAGGUGCAAUAUGUAAUAUUUUCUGUCCGCUAGAGGUCGCUAGAUGCCUAUUAAAAAAAGGCGUGUGACACCAAGUUUGAGCACGGAAUCUUGAGACGUGGUCUUCACCUGUGCAAAACAAAUGGGAUAGGACUCGGGAAGAAAUCAUGUUCAAGGAUGUGAUUAUUAGCGUUCCUGUAGUAUGAAGCAGAGCAGGACCGAGUGUUGUGGGAGCUUAACGAGGCCGCUGGAGUGAUUGCGCAACACACACCUCACGAGCAGCAGAACUUUUAUUAUGCCGAAGUCACUGGCGCUGCUUCCGGUUUUCUGCUCAUGAGUAUGAGAGCCUGGCCCAUCAGAAGAUCCCCCCCUACUGAUACUCCAGGAGGAUGGACCCAUCUAUAGCUUCAAGGAAAUUCUAUACUCAUGGUGCUGUGAGGGUGGUCUUGAGUACCUGGUUGACUGAGAAGGAUACAGGCCAGGGGAAUGCUCCUAGGUACCUCGAGAUGACAUCCUGGAUCUGACCCUGACCCUAACCCAAGCCAUCCACCUGCUCCACACGGACGGGGCCGGCCAUGGCGCUGGGGUUUAUGGUCCUCGGGUGCAGCCUGUGGAAUACUCACCAGAGUAUUAACUAUGCACACCUGGCACUCAUCAGCCCUCAUCACCAACACUCUUACUGGCUAGAAGUUCCUGAGAUACUCUACCAGCUUUGUUACUUUGAUCCAGUCAUCCAAGUCACCAUCCAGUCAUCCCUCAUCUUCUCGUCUGUGCCCUUCAAAUGGAAUUUUGAAGCUGGAAGCGUGGAUUAACCAUUUCAAUUGGCAAGAGAGGAAUAACAUGGAUGGAACAUUCUUGGCAAGGAGGAUUGUACAUCAGUCAGGUACAAGGGAGAAGGCUACUAAAAUUAGGUAAGAAAAAAAGUUUUAUUUUCGCAACUUGUUUAUUGAUUUGUUAAUAGCAAUUUGCUGUGGAAUAGGCCGAUCUAGUCCAGUCGGGUCGGCGUCUUCCCAGCCGGAUUUGGAUCCAAAUAAACUUUCAAAUAAUAGACGGGUUUGCGUUGGUUCAGGGUAUGGUAUUUCUUGGUUCUACAUUGGUCCGGGUCCAACAUUCAAAAUAAUAGACGGGUCUGGGUUGGUUCAGUGUAGCAUAUUUACGGGUUUCUUACGGGUUUCGAACUUUUGGACUCGUGAAGAACUCUACAUUACAAUAAACCUUAAGGACUUUUGAUGUUUACUUUAUUUAAAGCAAGUAAACUAAAUUAGCGUGUACUCACACUAGGAAUUCUGAAUCGUGCCCGAGCGUGACCCCCAAAGCCUAGGUCGUUUGACUAGUGUGAUUGCUUCGUGCCAUGCCCAGGUGCGAUUCCAUAAGCCGUUCCUGCCCGGCUUGGAAGAGGUGGGCUGGAGUGUGGUACACAUGCAGUGUGAGCUACUACAGCUACUACUUUUGUGUGUGCUACUGUCAUCAUUACUAUGGCAAAUAUCUUUAUUACUAUUCGGAUAGUACACUUUUCAAUUAUUGUAAUUAAUUUGAGUGCAUUUGAGUUUAUAGCGGGUCUGGAUAUCACCUUAUUGAUGAAAAGAAAUUGUAGAGAGUAAAGCUGCAAAUUCCUCCAUUAAUGUCAGCUGACUUUGUAAUAAUCUUUUUAUACAUGCAAGUGAAAAUCGCUGCGCAGCAUAAAUGAUAAUGAGGGGACAAUCGCACUCGGGCUCGGUUCAAGGCAACCGUGCCUAGCGUGAGUACACCCUUAAACAAUGACUAACAAAAUGUUUUUAGUUUAAUCUUAUUUAUAAGUGAAAAUUCUACUUUGAUUUUAUACAUAAUUUAGCUUUAGUUUAUGGUGAGAUUAAGUUGUAAAAAGCUUAUUAUUAUUAGGGGCCAAGCACCGAAGGUGCGAAGGCACCUAUUGUAUCC